GGUGGAAGAUGGGACUCAACAGAUCAUGGGAAUGGCAACCCUUUUAAAUGCCCCUCUACAUGCUUCUCAACAACAGGAUAAGGUCAGCUUUGAUACUGAAGAAAACCUUGUGGAGAAAACAGUGAUGUUUUCUACAGAUGAAGCAUUCAUGGACAUGACCCACAGUCAC